GGCUACACACGUGCUACAAUGGGUAGAACAGAGAGUCGCAAAGCUGUGAAGUGGAGCUAAUCUCAGAAAACUAUUCUUAGUUCGGAUUGUACUCUGCAACUCGAGUACAUGAAGUUGGAAUCGCUAGUAAUCGCGAAUCAGCAAUGUCGCGGUGAAUACGUUCUCGGGUCUUGUACACACCGUCCGUCACACCACGAGAGUUGGUUGCACCUGAAGUAGCAGGCCUAACCGUAAGGAGGGAUGCUCCGAGGGUGUGAUUAGCGAUUGGGGUGAAGUCGUAACAAGGUAUCCGUACGGGAACGU
rnacentral:rRNA from 1 species